rnacentral:rRNA from 1 species
GUGGGGAAUCUUCCGCAAUGGACGAAAGUCUGACGGAGCGACGCCGCGUGAGUGAUGAAGGCCUUCGGGUCGUAAAGCUCUGUCAUCGGGGACGAACGGCCUCAGCAGGUAAUGGCUGGGGAUUGACGGUACCCGAGAAGGAAGCCACGGCUAACUACGUGCCAGCAGCCGCGGUAAUACGUAGGUGGCAAGCGUUGUCCGGAAUUAUUGGGCGGCAAGUGCGCGCAGGUGGGAUCUUAAGUCCAUUUUGAAAGUUCGGGGCUCAACUCCGUGAUGGGAUGGAAACUGGGAUUCUUGAGUACCGGAGAGGAAAGCGGAAUUCCCCGUGUAGCGGUGAAAUGCGUAGAUAUGGGGAGGAACACCAGUGGCGAAGGCGGCUUUCUGGACGGUGUCUGACACUGAGGCGCGAAAGCCAGGGGAGCGAACGGGAUUAGAAACCCGAGUAGUCC